rnacentral:tRNA from 1 species
GGGGGUGUGGCUCAGAGGUACAGCGCUUGCCUAGCAUGUAUGAGGCACUGGGUUCUAGUCUCAGCAUCGCACA